UGGGAGAAGCCUGAUACAGCCAUGCCGCGUGAAUGAUGAAGGCCUUAGGGUUGUAAAAUUCUAUCUCUAGGGAAGAAAAUGACUGUACCUGGAAAAGAAGCCCCGGCUAACUUCUUGCCAGCAGCCGCGGUUAUGCGCCCAGCCCCGGUAAUAUACUUAUAUCCUU
rnacentral:rRNA from 1 species